AUGAAAAAAAUUAACACAACAAUAAUUAAAAAAAUGAGCAAAAUUUUGACAAAAAAAAAAACAUUGUUUACCUAUUUUGUACACAAUCAAUUAUAUGGUAUAAUAAUAAAUAUAAAAGGUAACAAAAACAGUAAUACACAUAAAAAUAAACAGUUGAUAUUCUGUUGUAAUUACUUACAUAUAUUUAAUAAUAUUACUUUUAUUAUGUUAGUGAAAAAAUAUUUUUUAAGAUAUGUAAUAGUACAUCCGAAGGAGUUUGUUCUUGAUCAUAAUAGUAAGAUUAAGAAUAAACGAAAAAAAAAUAACAUUUUUUUAAGUACAAAAUAUGAUAAAAUGAAAAAAAAAAUACAAACCUUAAGGGUUUAUUCUACGCUUUCUAAAGUAUACACUUACAAAAAAAGGAUAAAAUUAUUGUAUUUAGUUAAACGAAAUAUAAAACGGAAAAUAUUUCAAAAUAAUUGUUUGCGUAUAGCAAUAAAAGAGAAUGUUCAUAGUGAUCAGAACAGUGAUGGUGAUCAGAAAAUUGAUGGUGAUAAGGACAGUGAUAAAGACAGUGAUAAGGACAGUGAUCAGAAAAGUGAUAAGGACAGUGAUCAGAAAAGUGAUAAGGACAGUGAUAAGGACAGUGAUAAGGACAGUGAUAAGGGUCGUAAAAUAUUUGCAAGCAUUGAUAUUAAAACCGUAAUAAAAAGUUAUAACAAAAGAAGUAAACAGUUGAUAGAUGCAAAAAAAAAUUCAUCUUUUUAUUUUUUUUUCAAUCAAAAUAACAUAAUAUUGUUAAUUGAGUUUUAUGCAUGUCUACUAUAUAUGUCGAGAGAAGCAAGAGAACUUUUGAAAAAAUAUAAAAACGAAUUAGUAAAAAUAACAAACAAUAAUAAAAUAUUUGUUACUCCAUUGAAUAAUGUAAAACAUAGUGAUGUUUCUCAAAGUUAUGCCUCCUCCACCACACAUAUUAUUAGCAUAUUUUUAAACAGUUUUAAUUAUAUUCAGUAUGAUAUAAAAAAUAUAUUUUUUUUUUUAUAUACAUUAAAUAUGAAAACAUUUAUAGGAACUUACAUAAAUACAUUAAAAGGAGUAUUACAAAUAAAUACAAUUAAAAAAUUUGUUAAUAUGAAUGAAUAUACUUUUAGUCUUAUAAAUGAAUUGAAAGAAUCUGUUUUGUUUAGUAGCAAUAGUAACUAUUUUAAUAAUAAAAAAAGUAUGUACAUUUUUGAAAUUUAUAGCAGUUUAUCUGAUAAAAAUAAAUUUGUUUAUUUAAAUGCAUUGUUGUUUUUUUUGAAGAGGCAACAUAUGUCUAACUACUUAAGUGGAUUGGUUAAGUGGAUACAAAAAAAAAAGAAAUCGCAAAAAAUGCAGUCGCAAAAAAAGGAAUUGCAAAAAAAAGAAUUGCAAAAAAAGGAAUUGCAAAAAAAAGAAUUGCAAAAAAAGGAAUUGCAAAAAAAGGAAUCGCAAAAAAAAGAAUCGCAAAAAAAAGAAUCGCAAAGAAAGGAAGAAAAACCAAAGCAGAGUCAAACCAUAAUGGUGAAAAAAUUAGAACAUAUGUUUAAUAAGUCAUUAGAAAGAGUAUAUUGGGAUGCGUAUGCUAAGUUAUGCAAUAAACAAUUGAUUGUUGAAACUAGAAAAAAAAAACUUCAUAAAAAAGUGAAAAUUACAAAAAAUGGUAAAAAAAUGUAUAGUAAAAAAUUGUAUGGAAAAAAAUGUUUAAGGAAUUACUCCGAACAGUUUUUUACAAAAGAUUGCAAUAAUAACAUAUACUUGUUUGGUUUGUAUGACAAUAUUAUAAAAAAGUGUUAUAAGUUAGGUUUAACUUGUUCCGAAUAUGACAGUAGUGGAAAUAGUGACAACAUAAAGAGGAAAUGUUUUUAUACGGUAGAAACUACAUCUGCUAUAGUUGACAAAAUUAACAAACUAAAUAAAAUAUAUGAUAAAAAAUUUGAUAAAAAAUAUGAUAAAAUAUAUGAUAAAAAAUAUGUUAAACAUUUAAAAAAUAGAAAGAGAAUAAACAAUAAUAGAAAAGAUGAAAAAAAAAACAAAUUCUGUUUAUGUAUAAAAUAUGUUAUUAAUAAGGAAGCUAAAUUAAAAUUAAGUUUAAAAUUAAGUUUAAAAUUAAGUUUAAAAUAUAGUUUUAAAAAUAUUUUUUUUUAUUUACCUUUAUAUACUCUUGUUGAUGUUAGUAAGAUUUUAUCCAUAUCGAAGAUUUCUGCAUUGUAUGAGAUAUUAUGUGGUGAUACCUCCAUAGACAACAGCAUAAGUAAUAAUGGUCGCAAUGAUAAUGGAACAAAAAAUAAACAAUUUGAUAUUUUUUAUAAUAUUAAAUUAAAUUUUGUAAAUAUUAAUUUACAUUUAUUGUCUACAUCUACAUAUAGUAUGAAUAAACUGGAACAAAAUAAAAAAUAUGAAGAUAAAGUAGUGAGCAUAGUAGGAAGCAAAAACAUAAAAUUCGCAAAAAAAAAAAAAAAGCGUGGUAAAGAAAGUGGUAGUAAAGAAAGUGGUAGUAAAGAAAGUGGUAGUAAAGAAAGUAGUAGUACAGGAGGUGGUGUUACAGAAAGUGGUAGUAACAGUGUUGGUAACGAAAUUAGUGGCAGUGAUAACAUACACAGACGUCUUAUAAAUAUAAAAUAUAAAAAUAAUUUACCACAAUCAAACAAAAUGUUAAAAAAUUAUAAUUCCAUAAAAAGAUCACAAAACGCAAAGCUUGCAACUCCUAAUCAUAAAUUUGAUGGAAAAAAAAAAAAACGAUAA
ensembl:lncRNA